rnacentral:lncRNA from 1 species
GCACAGUCAGCUCUUGAGAGAGUGUGAGCCAGCUCCUACAUGGCAUUGCAAGAUAAAACAAGUAACAAAAGCAAAUGAAUGUGUCAAAGAUAUCAAGCUAAUUACCAGCAUGCUGUUUACUCAUAUGCAAGGCAGAUGAAUCCAUAGAUUGAUUUUAUCCAACAAAAGGGAAAACAAGCUUGAUACAAAUGGAAGAAGAGAGAAGGAGGAAAAACAAAACAUGGCCAAUAUGAGAAGAGUUCUCUGGUUUCCACAUUUGGAGGUAAGUGUUUAAUGCUCAGUUAAA